ACCAACAGGUCCGCCAAAUCCGGAAGAAGAUGAUGGAAAUCAUGACCAGAGAGGUGCAGACAAAUGACUUGAAAGAAGUAGUCAAUAAAUUGAUUCCAGACAGCAUUGGAAAAGACAUAGAAAAGGCUUGCCAAUCUAUUUAUCCUCUCCAUGAUGUCUUCGUUAGAAAAG